rnacentral:rRNA from 1 species
CCUACGGGGGGCUGCAGUGGGGAAUAUUGGACAAUGGGCGAAAGCCUGAUCCAGCCAUGCCGCGUGUGUGAAGAAGGCCUUCGGGUUGUAAAGCACUUUCAGUGGGGAAGAAAGCCUUGGGGCUAAUACCCUCGAGGAAGGACAUCACCCACAGAAGAAGCACCGGCUAACUCCGUGCCAGCAGCCGCGGUAAUACGGAGGGUGCGAGCGUUAAUCGGAAUUACUGGGCGUAAAGCGCGCGUAGGCGGUCUGAUAAGCCGGUUGUGAAAGCCCCGGGCUCAACCUGGGAACGGCAUCCGGAACUGUCAGGCUAGAGUGCAGGAGAGGAAGGUAGAAUUCCCGGUGUAGCGGUGAAAUGCGUAGAGAUCGGGAGGAAUACCAGUGGCGAAGGCGGCCUUCUGGACUGACACUGACGCUGAGGUGCGAAAGCGUGGGUAGCAAACAGGAUUAGAUACCCCGGUGUC